ACAUAAUUGCAUUCAUUAGUUAUGAUUAUUAUGAAUAGUAACAAAGCUAAAAUAAUUGAUUUUAAAACACAUGUAGUUCAACUAAUAUUAGAAAAAAAUAGAUUUUUUGCACUUAAUUUUCCAAAAGAAAUCUUUAAAGUAACAAAAUGGUUUCAAAGCAACCCUAAACAAUAGUACAUUUUUCAAUAAAUUUGCUUUUAGGUGCUUUCUCCAAGAAAAGAUAUUGGUACCCCUCUCACAUCAAAAGGUAAAAAGAAAAGAGCUAAAGAAAAUGAAGAUAGUAUAUGUGAAGAUUCUGUGAGUUUGGAUAUAAGGUUAGAAGAAUCCAGAGAUACAUCAGCAUUUGUUGCUAAUUUCAAGGAAGCUGAAAGAAAAGAAUUAGAAUCAAUCUUGAUGUUGCGUGCAAAGAAUAUUAGAAAACACACCGAAGAUGGUCCCGACUCAC